rnacentral:rRNA from 1 species
AGGGCACCACCAGGAGUGGAGCCUGCGGCUUAAUUUGACUCAACACGGGGAAACUCACCCGGCCCGGACACCGUAAGGAUUGACAGAUUGAUAGCUUUUUCAUGAUUCGGUGGAUGGUGGUGCAUGGCCGUUCUUAGUUCGUGGAGCGAUUUGUCUGGUUUAUUCCGAUAACGAGCGAGACUCUGGCCUACUAAAUAGUUCGCGCAUUGUCUCUGUGUGUGUGACUUCUUAGAGGGAUUUUCGGUGUUCAGCCGCACGAAAUUGAGCAAUAACAGGUCUGUGAUGCCCUUAGAUGUCCGGGGCUGCACGCGCGCUACACUGGCAAAAUCAGCGUGCUUGUCCUUCCCCGAAAGGGGUUGGUAAACCCUUGAAAAUUUGCCGUGAUUGGGAUUGGAAAUUGCAAUUAUUUUCCAUGAACGAGGAAUUCCAAGUAAGUGCGAGUCAUCAGCUCGCGUUGAUUACGUCCCUGCCCUUUGUACACACCGCCCGUCGCUGCCCGGGACUUAGCCAUUUCGAGAA